GUCUGGGACUUCCUUCCUUCCGCAGGGCAGCAACCAGGGACCUGAGUGUUGCAAGGUGCGAGAGGGGAUCGCCGCGGGAAGCGCAUGUGCCUCAAAUUCCUGCCUUUCCUCAAGAGAAGAGCCCCCAGGAGAAAAGCCAGUAUUGCUUGUGCUCCUAACAACCUGUCUCUUGGUAAGUUAACUCUUAACUAGAGAGCCCAGGAUGGUGGUGGUUGUGAGACUGCCAUCAGAAGUGAUGGCAGACCUAUAGUGGGACCCACCAAUGUCCGCUAAAUGCGAACCGAGCAGAAAAUGCAGAACCACACAAAAAUGGAUACCAUUUUACUCGAAUCAGUGAGAGUGGCCCACUGUGAAAAAGGCUAUGGAAUAAUUGGUUAUGGGACAGGUCCUAGAGUGCACUAAGUUCUUAUCAGAGUACCUGAACUGAAGACUCUACAGUCAUCUGGUAGCACAUCUUUAAACCACUUAUGGAACUGCUCAGUAUGAUGCCUUAAUGGUGUAGUGGUUAGAUCAAGGAAUAUGGGUAGUAAAU
rnacentral:sRNA from 1 species